CCGUACGGGAGGCAGCAGUGGGGAAUAUUGCACAAUGGAGGAAACUCUGAUGCAGCGACGCCGCGUGAGUGAAGAAGUAAUUCGUUAUGUAAAGGCUCUAUCAGCAGGGAAGAUAGUGACGGUACCUGACUAAGAAGCUCCGGCUAAAUACGUGC
rnacentral:rRNA from 1 species